CCUACGGGGGGCUGCAGUAGGGAAUCUUGCGCAAUGGGCGAAAGCCUGACGCAGCCAUGCCGCGUGAAUGAUGAAGGUCUUAGGAUUGUAAAAUUCUUUCACCGGGGAAGAUACUGACGGUACCCGGAGAAGAAGCCCCGGCUAACUUCGUGCCCGCAGCCGCGGUAAUACGAAGGGGGCUAGCGUUGCUCGGAAUUACUGGGCGUAAAGGGCGCGUAGGCGGAUCUUUAAGUUGGGGGUGAAAUCCCGGGGCUCAACCUCGGAAUUGCCGUCAAAACUGGAUAUCUUGAGUUCGGGAGAGGUGAGUGGAACUCCGAGUGUAGAGGUGAAAUUCGUAGAGAUUCGGAAGAACACCAGUGGCGAAGGCGACUCACUGGCCCGAUACUGACGCUGAGGCGCGAAAGCGUGGGGAGCAAACAGGAUUAGAUACCCUUGUAGUC
rnacentral:rRNA from 1 species